rnacentral:rRNA from 1 species
AUUGAACGCUGGCGGCAGGCCUAACACAUGCAAGUCGGACGGUAGCACAGAGGAGCUUGCUCCUCGGGUGACGAGUGGCGGACGGGUGAGUAAUGUCUGGGGAUCUGCCCGAUAGAGGGGGAUAACCACUGGAAACGGUGGCUAAUACCGCAUAACGUCGCAAGACCAAAGAGGGGGACCUUCGGGCCUCUCACUAUCGGAUGAACCCAGAUGGGAUUAGCUAGUAGGCGGGGUAAUGGCCCACCUAGGCGACGAUCCCUAGCUGGUCUGAGAGGAUGACCAGCUACACUGGAACUGAGACACGGUCCAGACUCCUACGGGAGGCAGCAGUGGGGAAUAUUGCACAAUGGGCGCAAGCCUGAUGCAGCCAUGCCGCGUGUAUGAAGAAGGCCUUCGGGUUGUAAAGUACUUUCAGCGGGGAGGAAGGCGAUAAGGUUAAUAACCUUGUCGAUUGACGUUACCCGCAGAAGAAGCACCGGCUAGCUCCGUGCCAGCCGCCGCGGUAA